UUUUGUAUAAUGGGUCAGCGACUUAUAUUCUGUAGCAAGGUUAACCGAAUAGGGGAGCCGGAGGGAAACCGAGUCUUAAUUGGGCGUUAAGUUGCAGGGUAUAGACCCGAAACCCGGUGAUCUAGCCAUGGGCAGGUUGAAGGUUGGGUAACACUAACUGGAGGACCGAACCGACUAAUGUUGAAAAAUUAGCGGAUGACCUGUGGCUGGGGGUGAAAGGCCAAUCAAACCGGGAGAUAGCUGGUUCUCCCCGAAAGCUAUUUAGGUAGCGCCUCGUGAAUUCAUCUCCGGGGGUAGAGCACUGUUUCGGCUAGGGGGCCAUCCCGGCUUACCAACCCGAUGCAAACUGCGAAUACCGGAGAAUGUUAUCACGGGAGACACACGGCGGGUGCUAACGUCCGUCGUGAAGAGGGAAACAACCCAGACCGCCAGCUAAGGUCCCAAAGUCAUGGUUAAGUGGGAAACGAUGUGGGAAGGCCCAGACAGCCAGGAUGUUGGCUUAGAAGCAGCCAUCAUUUAAAGAAAGCGUAAUAGCUCACUGGUCGAGUCGGCCUGCGCGGAAGAUGUAACGGGGCUAAACCAUGCACCGAAGCUGCGGCAGCGACGCUGAUGCGUUGUUGGGUAGGGGAGCGUUCUGUAAGCCUGUGAAGGUGUGUCGUGAGGCAUGCUGGAGGUAUCAGAAGUGCGAAUGCUGACAUAAGUAACGAUAAAGCGGGUGAAAAGCCCGCUCGCCGGAAGACCAAGGGUUCCUGUCCAACGUUAAUCGGGGCAGGGUGAGUCGACCCCUAAGGCGAGGCCGAAAGGCGUAGUCGAUGGGAAACGGGUUAAUAUUCCCGUACUUGGUGUUACUGCGAAGGGGGGACGGAGAAGGCUAUGUUGGCCGGGCGACGGUU
rnacentral:rRNA from 1 species